UACGUAGGGUCCGAGCGUUGUCCGGAGUUACUGGGCGUAAAGCGCGCGCAGGCGGCGAUGUUGGCCCCGGCGUGAAAAGCCCCCGGCUUAACCGGGGAGGGUCGUCGGGUACCGCAUCGCUUGAGGGCGGUAGGGGCUGGUGGAAUGCCUGGUGUAGUGGUGAAAUGCGUAGAGAUCAGGCGGAACACCCGUGGCGAAGGCGGCCAGCUGGGCCGUCCCUGACGCUGAGGCGCGAAGGCGUGGGGAGCGAACGGG
rnacentral:rRNA from 1 species